GUGCUCAUUUCAGUGGCACAUACACUAAAGUUGGAACGAUACAGAGAAGCUUAGUGUGGACCCUGCACAAGGAUGACACGCCGAUUUGUGAAGCGUUCCACAUUUUU